UACGGGAGGCAGCAGUGGGGAAUAUUGCACAAUGGGCGCAAGCCUGAUGCAGCCAUGCCGCGUGUAUGAAGAAGGCCUUCGGGUUGUAAAGUACUUUCAGUCGUGAGGAAGGUGUUAAGGUUAAUAACCUUAGCAAUUGACGUUAGCGACAGAAGAAGCACCGGCUAACUCCGUGCCAGCAGCCGCGGUAAUACGGAGGGUGCGAGCGUUAAUCGGAAUUACUGGGCGUAAAGGGCACGCAGGCGGUUAAUUAAGUUGGAUGUGAAAUCCCCGGGCUUAACCUGGGAAUGGCAUUCAAGACUGGUUAGCUAGAGUCUUGUAGAGGGGGUAGAAUUCCAUGUGUAGCGGUGAAAUGCGUAGAGAUGUGGAGGAAUACCGGUGGGCGAAGGCGGCCCCUGGGACAAAGGACUGACGCUCAUGUGCGAAAGCGUGGGGAGCGAAAC
rnacentral:rRNA from 1 species